AGUGAACGCUGGCGGUAGGCCUAACACAUGCAAGCCGAACGGCAGCACAGUAAGAGCUUGCUCUUACGGGUGGCGAGUGGCGGACGGGUGAGGAAUACAUCGGAAUCUACUUUUUCGUGGGGGAUAACGUAGGGAAACUUACGCUAAUACCGCAUACGACCUACGGGUGAAAGCAGGGGAUCUUCGGACCUUGCGCGAUUGAAUGAGCCGAUGUCGGAUUAGCUAGUUGGCGGGGUAAAGGCCCACCAAGGCGACGAUCCGUAGCUGGUCUGAGAGGAUGAUCAGCCACACUGGAACUGAGACACGGUCCAGACUCCUACGGGAGGCAGCAGUGGGGAAUAUUGGACAAUGGGCGCAAGCCUGAUCCAGCCAUACCGCGUGGGUGAAGAAGGCCUUCGGGUUGUAAAGCCCUUUUGUUGGGAAAGAAAAGCAGCAGGUUAAUACCCCGCCGUUCUGACGGUACCCAAAGAAUAAGCACCGGCUAACUUCGUG
rnacentral:rRNA from 1 species